rnacentral:rRNA from 1 species
AUAGAGACUCAGAGCUGCAUAUCAAUAAGCGGAGGAAAAGAAACUAACAAGGAUUCCCUUAGUAACGGCGAGUGAAGCGGGAAGAGCUCAAAUUUGAAAUCUUCAAGGUUCUACCUUGACGAAUUGUAGUUUAAAGAAGUGUUUUCUGUUGAAGUUUUCGGUAAAAGUUCUUUGGAAUAGGACAUCAUAGAGGGUGAGAAUCCCGUAUUUGACCAUUAUUUCCAGCUUUGUGAUACACUUUCAAAGAGUCGGAUUGUUUGGGAAUGCAGUCCAAAAUGGGUGGUAAAUUUCAUCUAAAGCUAAAUACUGGCGAGAGACCGAUAGCGAACAAGUACCGUGAGGGAAAGAUGAAAAGAACUUUGAAAAGAGAGUUAAACAGUACGUGAAAUUGUCAAAAGGGAAGCGUUUGACACCAGUGUUGUUUUCUCGAAAAUCAAUUAAAAAAGGCCGGAUUUUGUGUUGUAUUGACUUUAUCAGCUUUCUGCACUUUUUCUUGUCUUUUUUAAUGCACUUUUCGUUUAACAAGUCAACAUCAAUUUCUUUUGUUGUAAGAGGGUCAUUGGAAGGUGGCUUUCUUUUCGGAGAAAGUGUUUAUAGCCUUUGGCCUCUGCAAUCGGAAAGAUUGAGGUCUGCAGCGUAGAUCCUUCGGGGUUAGAUACAUUUGUGCUAAGUUAUAGCCUUUCAUAGACAACUUGUUGACUAUGAUCAGUCAUGUAGCUUACUCGCUUAUGCUAUUUUACCUACGCUUAGGAUGUUGACGAUCAGCUGAGCGCG